rnacentral:lncRNA from 10 species
AUUGAACAUCCAUGUGCAAAAAUCGGAACUUGACCUGCACUGCGGACCAUAUACAAAACUUAACUCCAAAUUGACCAUAGACUUAAAUACAAAAUGUAACACCAUAAAACUUCUAGGAGAAAACAUAGGAGAAAAAUCUUGGUGACCUUGCUUGUUUUGGGCAAAGAGUUAUUAAAUACAGUACCAAAAGUCUGAUCCAUAAAAGAAAAAAUAAUUAAAAACAUUUUUUCUGUGAAAGACUGUUGAGAGAAUGCCACAUUCCUUCAGACUGGGAAAACCAUAGACUGGGAAAAAAUACUUUUAAAACUUAACAAUGAGAAACAAAUAUUGUAAUUAAGAAAAGCAACCUAAAUAUUUUAACAGAUGCUUCGUUACUGUAGGCAAACAGAUCAGUGGUUUUCAAGGGUUAACACCUGAGGGAGGAUUUAACUAGAAAGUAGCCACAUGAGAGAGCUUUUCAGGAUGAUGGAGCUGUCCUAUAUUUUUACUGGGGUAGUGGUUUUAUGACUGUAUGCAUUUGUCAAGAUUUAUACAAUUGUAAGUCAGAAUGUGAAUUUUACUAUAUGUAAAUUUUAAAAUGUUUUAAAACUUUAAAAAAAUACAUGGCCUGGGAAAGGUUUUAUAGGUGAUUAUUCAGUUGUCAACACUAGUAUUUGUCACAGUCUGCAUUAUAUAUUUAUUGUAAAGAUUUCCAUCAAAUAUUAUUUAAUUGUUGUUAUAAAGAUAAAUAAGUUACAGCUCAGAUUAUCUGUUAUUUCUGUGCAAACACUAUUAUGUUGGUCAUAGAGUCUCAAGACCAUAAAUUGGAUUAGCUUUCUCUAUAGCUAUACCUAUAAAUAGGUUAAUUUUUACUAGAUGUAUUUAUAUAUGUGUGUGUAUGUGUAUAUGUGUGUUUUAUAUAAUCCUAAAUUAAAUUUACCAUUCUCUAAUAAAGA